rnacentral:sRNA from 1 species
UUCGGGGUCCGCUUAUCUGUGCAUCGGC